GACGAACGCUGGCGGCGUGCUUAACACAUGCAAGUCGAGCGGUAAGGCCCUUUCGAGGGUACACGAGCGGCGAACGGGUGAGUAACACGUGGGUGACCUGCCCUCAGCUCUGGGAUAAGCCUGGGAAACCGGGUCUAAUACCGGAUAUGACUCCAUGACGCAUGUUGUGGGGUGGAAAGCCUUGUGCGGCUGAGGAUGGGCCCGCGGCCUAUCAGCUUGUUGGUGGGGUGANGGCCUACCAAGGCGACGACGGGUAGCCGGCCUGAGAGGGCGACCGGCCACACUGGGACUGAGACACGGCCCAGACUCCUACGGGAGGCAGCAGUGGGGAAUCUUGCGCAAUGGGCGAAAGCCUGACGCAGCGACGCCGCGUGAGGGAUGACGGCCU
rnacentral:rRNA from 1 species